rnacentral:ncRNA from 1 species
GGGGGAGAAAUGUCAAAAAAUAAUUAAAUUAAAAAUUAGCUAUAGUCGGCUAAUAGUUUAAUGAAUUCUAAAAACUAUGCAUUAAAAAGGAGAAAUCCUAUCUUUGAAAAACUAUAGCCUUGGCCGACAGGUUCAGACAAUCUUUGAAAUUUCAUCAUGAUGGGGAUAGAUCAUUGUCAUUGUUGGUCUUCAACGAGGAAUACCUAGUAAGCGUAAGCCAUCGUGUUGACUACGUCCCUGCCCUUUAUACACAUCGCUCAUUACUCCUUACCAAUUGAAUGGUUCUGUGAACGUGACGAUGUGGUUGGUUUGCGGCUCGAAGUCGCAAAAUAAUCCACUAAACCUUAUCAUAUAGAGGAAUAAGAAGUUGUAAUAAGGUUUCCGUAGAUGAACCUACGAAAA